GACAUAGGUGGCGAACGUUAUCCGGAAUUAUUGGGCGUAAAGAGCUCGUAGGCGGUGUGUCACGUCGGCCGUGAAAACCUGCAGCUUAACUGUGGGCGUGCGGUCGAUACGGGCAUCACUGGAGUUCGGCAGGGGAGACUGGAAUUCCUGGUGUAGCGGUGAAAUGCGCAGAUAUCAGGAGGAACACCGGUGGCGAAGGCGGGUCUCUGGGCCGAUACUGACGCUGAGGAGCGAAAGCGUGGGGAGCAAACAGG
rnacentral:rRNA from 1 species